CUCCCCAAGUAGGAUUCGAACCUACGACCAGUCAGUUAACAGCCGACCGCUCUACCACUGAGCUACUGAGGAUCCUCAGUAGCUCAGUGGUAGAGCGGUCGGCUGUUAACUGACUGGUCGUAGGUUCGAAUCCUACUUGGGGAG
rnacentral:tRNA from 2 species